rnacentral:lncRNA from 1 species
GAAAACAUAUGAAAGAACUGAAAUUAAUGCAUAGACAUGAAAAAACUCUAAAGAACAUAGAUUAAUAUUCAGCAAAUUGAGGUUCAUCCUCAAAUCUUCCAACUUGGUUACACGUUUUCAUAUUUGCAUUUCAUAUGUCACUUAAGAGCCAAGGAAUACCUGGAAGUCAAGGUAAACAAAAUAAGAUAAGGAUUUCAGCAAUAGCAGUAAAUCAGCACAUUAACCCAGCAACAUUCAGCUCUUUCAAACCAUUUUUAACCCUAGACAAAGUAGAGAUCCUUUGAAACUUUUAAACUCUUCCAACAAUGAAGAUCAAAGAGCAAUUUCAAACAACUUCCAACCAAAAGAAUGCCGAAAACUUGAGUGUUUUUUAGAGUGUAUAUCUCAGUCGUUUUCAGUUUUUUGGAAUUCUCAUCUCUCCCUAAAGAAUGAGUGAAACAGGCCUUAUAUAGAAAGAUUUUAGGGCAGCAACACCUGAUUUUAUUCAUUCAAAAUUACCCAUCAUCAAUUCCCCUUUUGUUCAGUUCAAACCCCAAACUUUUUACCUAUUUUUUAAAUCAGCCUAAUUCAUACUUUCCUAGAACUUUCCUAGGCAGUUAGGGGAGAUUCCUUCUACUCAAUUCUCCUAACUACCCCUCAAAGGUCUGGUAAUUACUUUAAACAAAUCAUACGUUUGAAACAGACUGCCCCAAAUGCCCUUGGGCUUUUGCAUUAGCAAGCUACAAUAGUCUUUUUUGGGCCCCCUGGACCAGCAAACCCAAUCCCAAACCUAGGCAAAACAAUUCAUAAGGAAUCCAGACUAACCAAGUUCUGAACCCUUUUAAAGAAACAGAACCAAAAGAAAAAGAGUAAAAGGAAAAGAGAAAUUUAACAAAUACUAAUCAACGAGACUAACUGUACUUCUUAACCUAUUGCUAUCAAAUUAAUCAAUUGAAAAUUCAUGCUUUCUAAACCUAACUGAGAUAAAGAAAAACAGAGGCAUACCAACUAGAUCGAUGGCUCAGAGAUGACAUCCGGCGAGAAAACCUCAACCCAUGGUGUGAGAUGUAACACGAAUACCGACCGGAAUUUCUUCAAUGGCUUGUGCUCUUUGUCACAGCCCUCAACACGGGUCAAGAACGAAUAAGAAACACAACUUGAAAUGGAGACACCUCGAAGAUUGUUAUCUCGCAAUUCGGUUGCCAUGCAUAAAUCGAAACUUCAACCAAUUAGACCCUCAUACCAAAACUAGUUGAUUUGCACAUGCUCAAUCAUCGAGGAGAGGAUGGAUUGGUAGGAAAUUAAAAAAAAAACGAGAAGGAUUUUAUUGUUAUUUUCAGAUUCCUAUUUUGAGGAAACUGAGUGAUUUUUGGACAGAAAUAGCAAUGGAUUCGGUAUGAGAGGUUAAUUAUAUGGUUAAGAUUUAAUGGAGUUUAUAGAUCCGCCGCCGCCGAUGGCGAAUUCCGGUGGGUGGCGGACAGUGGUGAGAGAUAGGGUGUGAGAGAGAUGAAGAACAAUGAUCUUAGGUUAUUUUUAGGGCAUUUGGACAAUUUUAAACAAAACGGGGAAAGUCUUCAAGGUCGUUGGUUG